GCCAUCCUCGCCUGCCUUCUCGCGCUGUUUCUAGCUCUCGCCAUCCCUCGGCGUACUCUUCCUCUCCUCCGAGUCAGAGUACCCUGGAGGGAUAAUGCUCUGCAGAUGAGGUUCUUGCUAUGUUGCCUAGGCUGGUCUUGAACUUCUGGCCUCAAGAAAUCCUCCUCCUGAUCCUCCUACCUCAGCCUUCCAAAGUGUUGGGAUUACAGCACUGGCUAGAACUUCCAUCCCUGUGGUGAAUAAGAGUGAUGAAAGUGGACACCAUCGUAUUAUUGAAUUGAAGGGAUGUAGAUGGAUAACAUGACCACAAGAGUUAGGCCCCGAAGCAGAUGAUUGCCUCUGGCACCCGCCGUAUGCAAUUCGAGGUGAAAUUUCCAAGAGCCAAAUGAAAUAAUUGCAACAGGCCUUCAUGGGGCUUUGAAUUCAGCCUCAAACAUUGUGAUAAUCCGAUCCUGACACUUGCCCUCCCCUCAUUCACUCUUUUAACAAUCCCAAGAGAGUGCAGGACUGAGAUCCGAAAAUGUUAUUAUGGAGGGGAAAUAAAGGUUAUUUUGAAUGCUUCAAGGUCACGUGACUUGUAAGAAGAAGUCAGUUGCUAUGUACAAAGUCCUACUACUCUAAGACUGCCAUACCAUGAGAAGCCCAACCUAGCCAUGUGGAGAGGUCAUGUGAAGGAGAACUGAGUCUUCCAGCCAGCAACCCCAGCUGAGCUUCCAGCCAACAAACAGCACUAACUUGCAUGGGAGAAGCUGUCCAGGAAGUGAAUCCUUGAGCUCCAAUUGAGCUGCCUCAAGCUGGUGUCACGUGGAGCAGAGAUGAGCUGUCCCUGACAUACCUUGCACAAAUUUCAGAAACAUAAGUAAAUAAAAGAAAUAUUUGUAUUUUAAGUCAACA
rnacentral:lncRNA from 10 species